rnacentral:pre_miRNA from 1 species
UUCUUAUUGGAUGAUGACUGUCACGUGUCAUGUUCUAAUUGGUCAAUGAAAACAACAAUGCAUUUCAUCUUUUCAUGGAGUUGACAUCCAAUAAUAGAACAUGUGGCAAUCAUCAUCCAAUAAGAACGUGAUAAGUGACAGUCAACAUCA